rnacentral:rRNA from 1 species
UACGUAGGGUGCAAGCGUUGUCCGGAAUUAUUGGGCGUAAAGAGCUCGUAGGCGGUUUGUUGCGUCGGCUGUGAAAUCCCGAGGCUCAACCUCGGGUCUGCAGUCGAUACGAGCAAACUAGAGUGUUGCAGGGGAGACUGGAAUUCCUGGUGUAGCGGUGAAAUGCGCAGAUAUCAGGAGGAACACCGGUGGCGAAGGCGGGUCUCUGGGCACUUACUGACGCUGAGGAGCGAAAGCGUGGGGAGCGAACAGG